rnacentral:rRNA from 1 species
AGCAGCCGCGGUAAAACGUAGGUCACAAGCGUUGUCCGGAAUUACUGGGUGUAAAGGGAGCGCAGGCGGGAAGACAAGUUGGAAGUGAAAUCUAUGGGCUCAACCCAUAAACUGCUUUCAAAACUGUUUUUCUUGAGUAGUGCAGAGGUAGGCGGAAUUCCCGGUGUAGCGGUGGAAUGCGUAGAUAUCGGGAGGAACACCAGUGGCGAAGGCGGCCUACUGGGCACCAACUGACGCUGAGGCUCGAAAGUGUGGGUAGCAAACAGGAUUAGAUACCCUGG